AUUGAACGCUGGCGGCAUGCUUUACACAUGCAAGUCGAACGGUAACAGGCCGCAAGGUGCUGACGAGUGGCGGACGGGUGCGUAAUGCGUCGGAACGUGCCCAGUCGUGGGGGAUAACUACUCGAAAGAGUAGCUAAUACCGCGUACGAUCUAUGGAUGAAAGCGGGGGACCGUAAGGCCUCGCGCGAUUGGAGCGGCCGCUGUCAGAUUAGGUAGUUGGUGGGGUAAAGGCUCACCAAGCCAACGAUCUGUAGCUGGUCUGAGAGGACAAGCAGCCACACUGGGACUGAGACACGGCCCAGACUCCUACGGGAGGCAGCAGUGGGGAAUUUUGGACAAUGGGCGCAAGCCUGAUCCAGCAAUGCCGCGUGCAGGAAGAAGGCCUUCGGGUUGUAAAAUGCUUUUGUACGGAACGAAACGGCUCUGGUUAAUACCCGGGGCUAAUGACGGUACCGAAAGAAUAAGCACCGGCUAACUACGUG
rnacentral:rRNA from 1 species